UUGAACGCUGGCGGAAUGCUUUACACAUGCAAGUCGAACGGCAGCACGGGGGCAGCCCGGGUGGCGUGUGGCGAACGGGUGAGUAAUACAUCGGAACGUGCCCGGUCGUGGGGGAUAACGUAGCGAAAGUCACGCUAAUACCGCAUACGAUCCGAGGUUGAAAGCGGGGGACCUUCGGGCCUCGCGCGAUCGGAGCGGGCGGUUUCAGAGUAGGUAGUUGGUGGGGUAAAGGCCUACCAAGCGGACGGACUGUAGCGGGUCUGAGAGGACGCCCAGCCACACUGGGACUGAGCCACGGCCCAGACUCCUACGGGAGGCAGCGGUGGGGAAUUUUGGCCAAUGGGCGCAAGCCUGAUCCAGCCCUUCCGCGUGCAGGACGAAGGCCUUCGGGUUGUAACCUGCUUUUGUACGGAACGAAAAGGCUCUGGCUAAUACCUGGGGCUCAUGACGGUACCGUAAGAAUAAGCACCGGCUAACUACGUG
rnacentral:rRNA from 1 species